rnacentral:rRNA from 1 species
UACGUAGGGGGCAAGCGUUGUCCGGAUUUAUUGGGCGUAAAGAGCGUGUAGGCGGCCAGACAGGUCCGUUGUGAAAACUCGAGGCUCAACCUCGAGACGCCGAUGGAAACCGUCUGGCUAGAGUCCGGAAGAGGAGAGUGGAAUUCCUGGUGUAGCGGUGAAAUGCGCAGAUAUCAGGAAGAACACCCGUGGCUAAGGCGGCUCUCUAGUACGGUACUGACGCUGAGGAGCGAAAGCCAGGGGAGCAAACGGG